GCUACUUACCAGCAAACAGGGAAGUUUUGUCUAUAUAGCGGUGUUUGUACAAACGUGAUCAUUUUAUUGUUCUUUGCUCUAAUAUCAUUUUAUAAAAAUUAAUAAGAAAUAAAACAACUGCUGAAACUAAAAUGAUAGGAAGCAUAUGUCUCAAACUUAAUACUAUAAAGACCAUAUUAGAAAUCUGAAGCAUGACAAAAAUGUAACUCUCUGGCCUCAACUGACUAGUCAUGGAUCCUACUACAUUCUUUCUGCAUAUUGAACCAACCUUCUGGGGAGACAGUGGACCUACCAGACACCUACCGGACUGCAACAAUUGUUUCACGUGAUCUUUCAGACGAGAGCAAAUGUCUUCCUAAAUAGAAAAAAAGUUCAGGAAGUCAUUUUCAUAAAGAGUUUUAAUAAAGAGUAAACUAAAAAUUAUGAUACAUAAUUAGAUUUGAUGUCAAACACAAGAUCAUCACAUGGGAGCAUCACCUCUUUUACAAGUCAACAGAGAAUGGAGACCCCCAACCCAAUAAGGAAAAGCCACCAGGAUCCACUCUUCUCCAGUCAUCCAAGAAGGGCUACUGUCCAAGUCCAACUAACUUCAAUGUUACCCUAUGUUUGGCCAAAACUAACUUUAAAAUAAAAUAAAAUAAAAAUUUAUGAAGC
rnacentral:lncRNA from 10 species